CACGAACGCUGGCGGCAGGCUUAACACAUGCAAGUCGAGCGCCCCGCAAGGGGAGCGGCAGACGGGUGAGUAACGCGUGGGAAUCUACCCAUCUCUACGGAAUAACGCAUGGAAACGUGUGCUAAUACCGUAUACGUCCUUCGGGAGAAAGAUUUAUCGGAGAUGGAUGAGCCCGCGUUGGAUUAGCUAGUUGGUGGGGUAAAGGCCUACCAAGGCGGCGAUCCAUAGCUGGUCUGAGAGGAUGAUCAGCCACACUGGGACUGAGACACGGCCCAGACUCCGACGGGAGGCAGCAGUGGGGAAUAUUGGACAAUGGGCGCAAGCCUGAUCCAGCCAUGCCGCGUGAGUGAUGAAGGCCCUAGGGUUGUAAAGCUCUUUCACCGGUGAAGAUAAUGACGGUAACCGGAGAAGAAGCCCCGGCUAGCUUCGUGCCAGCCGCCGCCGUAAGAC
rnacentral:rRNA from 1 species